rnacentral:lncRNA from 1 species
CCUGUGCUCUUUAGCUUACGUACAAGUCGAGACAAUGACACUUGAACGUAAUCGACGAAUUUCCAUUCGCGCAGUCGAAGUAAUAGGGCGUCUCGAGGAUCGCCGUUCACGCCGUCAGCAUGUCUGAAACGCUAGAGAGGAAGAAGGCUCUGUCAAAAAGACCAAACUGGAUCCGAAGGAGUUAAAGGAAAUACCCCAAGUCAAUUCCCUCAAGUCCAUGAGGGCCCAUGCAAGAGAUCUUUGGUUUUUACACAUGACUUGUCCGGAGAGCUAUAAAAAGCAGUUUGCCCUUGAAAAAUUAGAUUUGCCCUAGAAUUGAAAUAAAAAUGUAUUUAAUAGUUUUGUUUUAUGAAGACAUUUUUCAUGAAAUUUAAUUAAAAUGGUUUUGUGGCCCAUUAAAAUAUUUCAAGUGGCAAUGCAGCCCAAUAAAUUAAAAGGUUGUACAUCUAAAGAUUAAAGUAUUUAUCAAUCAUCCCAACAUAUUAGAUUUUUUUUUUCUAUCUGUUAUAAUUAUUCUUUCUUUCUAGUGAACGGAACACGUCAUUUGAAUUGAUAUCGAGGGCGGACUUUUGGCAAAAACAUUUUUGCCGAAGGACAAUUUCCUGAACGGACAUUUCGCUCAAGGACCAUUUGGUAAAUUUGGCCGAAUAAUGAUAUUAAAUUUAUUGAUAUAUACGACUGCAUAUUAUAUUUAUCGAAAUGCCGUUUGGCUAAUUUUCAUUAGGCGAAAUUGUUUAAUAACUGUACAUUGGACUGGUCCAUCAUUAUUAUUUUUUUUUUUUUUUAAUGUUAGAUGACAUUGUCAAAAAACUUUUCUUUUAAUAUUAUUAUGAAGAAAUAUAAAAUUUGACCCAUAUGAGUUUAGACAUGUUUAGAAGUAGAGUUCUAUAAUUCACUAUUUUUUGAAAAAAGUUGCAUUCUUCUAGAACAAGCUUUAAGUUUGCGGAACACCCCUUCCUCCCUACCCGGUAAUCAUGGACCUGUGUAUUCCUUUAAAAGCUUGUUAAUUUGUAAUUAUAAAAUCUAUCCAAGAUCAUUGAAUUUGUUUGAUAAAUGUUGCGUUAGUAAAAAAAAAAAAGGUUCCCCUUAAUUAAAAUACAUAAUUGUAAAUAUUAUAAUUUAUGAACAUCGAUGAGAUAAAUAUCUGGAGUGGUACCAGAUCUACUGAGCAACAUCAUCAGUGGGUCUAUUAACGUUUUAAUAGGGAUAUAAGUGGCAAGUUUUUAGUGCAUAUGUACAAUUUAUUUUAUUCUUCAAUACAUCAUUGUCUCUCCUAUAUUUAUAAUUAACGUGGGAUAAUGUGCAUCUGUACCAAAUUAUCCAAAUAUUAAUACAAACAUAAGAAUAUUUUUCAACUAAGAUAGAUAUUUGAUUGUAUCCACCUAUAUCAUAUAUAUAAUCUUUAAUAAAUAUUUUUACAUAA